CGGGGGGAGCAAGCGUUGUUCGGAUUUACUGGGCGUAAAGGGCGCGUAGGCGGCCACCGCAAGUCGACUGUGAAAUCUCCGGGCUUAACCCGGAAAGGUCAGCCGAUACUGCGGGGCUAGAGUGCAGAAGGGGGCAACUGGAAUUCUCGGUGUAGCGGUGAAAAUGCGUAGAUAUCGAGAGGAACACCUGCGGCGAAGGCGGGUUGCUGGGCUGACACUGACGCUGAGGCGCGAAAGCUAGGGGAGCGAACGGGAUUAGAUACCCCGGUAGUCCUAGCCUUAAACGACGAAUGCUUGGUGUCUGGGGUUUUAUAGUCCCCGGGUGCCGUCGCUAACGCUUUAAGCAUUCCGCCUGGGGAGUACGGUCGCAAGACUG
rnacentral:rRNA from 1 species